UCCAAAGGCAUUGGUUUUGUCUUGUUCUUCACUCAAGAUUGCAUGAGCUUUGUCAUUAUGCCUUUUCCAAGCAUUUCAAAUUCCCAUGUAUUGUAUGGAGAUCUUCAUUUUUUAAUUGCUGCCACAGUCUACUCUUCGGGGAUCGUUUGAGCUGAAAGAAAGGAAUUACCCAUAUUCCCCAAUCUCUUCAACUUCACAGCUCUCUGUUUUAUUGACUUUGUUUGCAGAUGGCUUGUGCAUUUUCCAAUUAAUUGAAUUAAUUGGGCCUUAUCUUGUUGAUGGAGAUAGCUCUCUGCAAAUGGGGGUUUUUAUCUCUGCUGUGUUUAGGUCUCUCAUUUUCAAUUGGAUUUUCAGUUGAGGGGCUACAUGGUAAUUCAAGAGUACGAGGAGUGAAUUUGGGUGGAUGGUUGGUGAUUGAGGGUUGGAUUAAGCCUUCUCUGUUUGAUGAUAUUCCCAAUAGUGACAUGCUUGAUGGAACAGAGGUCCAACUAAAGUCAGUGAGUGGGAACAAAUAUGUUUCUGCUGACAAUGGUGGCGGAGGGGCUGUCGCGGUUGACAGAGACGUUCCUCUUGCUUGGGAGACAUUUCGGUUAUGGAGAGUAUCCGAGUCAAUCUUCCAAUUCCGUACUUCUGGUGGCCAGUUUCUGACCUGUGGUGGUGAUGGGGACAACGUUACUGCUGCAGCAGAGUUACCGUCUGACACAGAAACCUUUUACUUGGAAAGAAAUAACAAUCAAAUUCACAUCAAACUCAAGACUGGAAUAUAUUUACAGGCUUCAAAUGCCAACCAGCUCACAGCGGACUAUCCAGGGACACCCGGAUGGGAUGAUAAUGCUGCUACAUUUGAAUUGAUAAUUGUGUCUAAUAAUUUACAUGGAGACUACCAGUUUGCUAAUGGCUACGGACGUGAUAAGGCAGAAGAAGUUUACAAGAAUCACAGGAACAAUUUUAUCACUGUAGAAGAUUUCAAUUUUCUCUAUAGGCAUGGAAUCAAUACUGUGAGAAUACCAGUAGGCUGGUGGAUAGCUUACGAUCCCAAUCCUCCACCUCCUUUUAUCGGUGGAAGUUUGCAAGCACUCGAUAAUGCUUUUUCGUGGGCACAAGAGUACAACAUAAAGUGCAUAGUUGACCUUCAUGCUGCACCAGGCUCCCAGAAUGGGAUGGAACACAGUUCUAGUAGAGAUGGGACGACAGGAUGGCCCACAUCAUCUGAUUACAUCUCACAAAGUCUAAAUGCAAUAGAUUUUCUCGCUUCAAGGUAUGCUCAGCAUCCUUCGUUGCUGGGGAUUGAGCUAUUAAAUGAGCCAUCUGCUGCGUUGGUUCCACUCGACACCCUAACUUCAUAUUAUAAACAAGGAUACAAGAUUGUUAGGAAAUACUCAUCCACUGCUUAUGUCAUAUUUUGCCAAAGAAUUGGCAAUGCUGAUCCAUCGGAGCUCUACCAGGCUAACUUAGGCGAUACAAAUACCGUAAUAGACUUGCAUUACUACAAUCUAUUCGACCCUUUUUUUGCCAACAUGAGCUCUAUAGACAACAUUCAGUAUAUAUACAAGAGUAGGGGAACACAGUUACAGUCUCUGAAUGGUGCAAAUGGACCGCUUGUUUUCAUCGAAUGCAGGGGAAUGGGUGAACGAGUGGAACGUGAAUGGAUCCCAAACCGAUUACCAAGAUUAUGGACGAGCCCAGUUGGAGGUGUACAAUGCUGCUUCGUUUGGAUGGGCUUACUGGACACUUAAAAAUGACAGGAAGCACUGGGAUUUUGAGUGGAACGUACGCAACAACUACCUCCAACUUCAACUAGGUUGUUCAUCAUGUAGGCGAAGUUGGAGUUAUGUGAUGUUUCUUGGAUUGGCAUUCGGCUUCUUCUUCGUCUACGGUGUGUAGAAACUGUCGCAAUCCGGCAUUGAACACCAGCAGCCGGGAAAUGUGGGAUGAAAACUGAUGGAAGUUACCAUGCUUCCUUCAAAUUGAGCUCAACUCGACUUUAUUCAUUGUAAGUAUCAUUUUUCUAAUAAAAUGGAAUUCUCUUAUUGGCCACAAGACAGCUCUAUUGACCCACUGAAUUAUUAAAUAAGUUGAAAGUUGAUCGGAAAUGAAACUGAUUUUGCCAUCUUUUCAA